rnacentral:rRNA from 1 species
GGUUAAGCGACUAAGCGUACACGGUGGAUGCCCUGGCAGUCAGAGGCGAUGAAGGRCGUGCUAAUCUGCGAUAAGCGCCGGUAAGGUGAUAUGAACCGUUAUAACCGGCGAUWUCCGAAUGGGGAAACCCAGUGUGAUUCGUCACACUAUCAUUAACUGAAUCCAUAGGUUAAUGAGGCGAACCGGGGGAACUGAAACAUCUAAGUACCCCGAGGAAAAGAAAUCAACCGAGAUUCCCCCAGUAGCGGCGAGCGAACGGGGAGGAGCCCAGAGCCUGAAUCAGCAUGUGUGUUAGUGGAAGCGUCUGGAAAGGCGCGCGAUACAGGGUGACAGCCCCGUACACAAAAG